rnacentral:rRNA from 1 species
AUUGAACGCUGGCGGCAGGCCUAACACAUGCAAGUCGGACGGUAGCACAGAGGAGCUUGCUCCUCGGGUGACGAGUGGCGGACGGGUGAGUAAUGUCUGGGGAUCUGCCCGAUAGAGGGGGAUAACCACUGGAAACGGUGGCUAAUACCGCAUAACGUCGCAAGACCAAAGAGGGGGACCUUCGGGCCUCACACUAUCGGAUGAACCCAGAUGGGAUUAGCUAGUAGGCGGGGUAACGGCCCACCUAAGCGACGAUCCCUAGCUGGUCUGAGAGGAUGACCAGCCAAACUGGAACUGAGACACGGUCCAGACUCCUACGGGAGGCAGCAGUGGGGAAUAUUGCACAAUGGGCGCAAGCCUGAUGCAGCCAUGCCGCGUGUAUGAAGAAGGCCUUCGGGUUGUAAAGUACUUUCAGCGGGGAGGAAGGCGAUGUGGUUAAUAACCGCGUCGAUUGACGUUACCCGCAGAAGAAGCACCGGCUAACUCCGUGCCAGCCGCCGCCGUAA